GCUAGCGUAGCUUAAUAUAAAGCAUAACACUGAAGAUGUUAAAAUGGGCCCUAGAAAGCUCCGCACGCA
rnacentral:tRNA from 1 species